CGUUCAACCUCACCCUUCCUGCAUUUAUAUCAGCCUAUAUACCACCGUCGUAAGUUUACUCUGUGAAGAGCCCGUAGUAAGCGAAAUUGGCACAGCCCAAGACGUCAGGUCGAGGUGUAGCUUACGAAGGGGGCUGGAGAUGGGCUACAUUCUCUAUUUCAGAGAAUACGGAUGGUGUAAUGAAACUUACACACGGAAGGAGGAUUUAGAAGUAAGCGGAAAAUAGAGUGUUCCGCUGAACCCGGCUCUGAAGCGCGCACAUACCGCCCGUCACUCUCUCCAAGCCCCUACCCUAUCUAAUUAACUAAAAAGCUAAAUAAUGCUGAGGAGAGACAAGUCGUAACAUGGUAAGCGUACCGGAAGGUGCGCUUGGAAUAAU
rnacentral:rRNA from 1 species